rfam:Eutrema salsugineum unplaced genomic scaffold scaffold_3, whole genome shotgun sequence.
AAGCCGUGGUGUGGGCAUUGGUUAGUAUAACACCUAAACCGUUCCCAAGCUUCACUAAAACUCUCGUUGUUGUGUUGCGUGAAACUUGAGAUCUGAUUCCUGAGCUU